rnacentral:rRNA from 1 species
AACCCGACUCCAUGAAGCUGGAUUCGCUAGUAAUCGCGCAUCAGCCACGGCGCGGUGAAUACGUUCCCGGGCCUUGUACACACCGCCCGUCAAGCCAUGGAAGCCGGGAGUGCCUGAAGUGCGUGGCCGCAAGGAGCGUCCUAAGGCAAUACCGGUGACUGGGGCUAAGUCGUAACAAGGUAUC